AUUGAACGCUGGCGGCAGGCCUAACACAUGCAAGUCGAGCGGAUGAAGGGAGCUUGCUCCUGGAUUCAGCGGCGGACGGGUGAGUAAUGCCUGGGAAUCUGCCUGGUAGUGGGGGAUAACGUCCGGAAACGGGCGCUAAUACCGCAUACGUCCUGAGGGAGAAAGUGGGGGAUCUUCGGACCUCACGCUAUCAGAUGAGCCUAGGUCGGAUUAGCUAGUUGGUGGGGUAAAGGCCUACCAAGGCGACGAUCCGUAACUGGUCUGGGAGGAUGAUCAGUCACACUGGAACUGAGACACGGUCCAGACUCCUACGGGAGGCAGCAGUGGGGAAUAUUGGACAAUGGGCGAAAGCCUGAUCCAGCCAUGCCGCGUGUGUGAAGAAGGUCUUCGGAUUGUAAAGCACUUUAAGUUGGGAGGAAGGGCAGUAAGUUAAUACCUUGCUGUUUUGACGUUACCAACAGAAUAAGCACCGGCUAACUUCGUG
rnacentral:rRNA from 1 species